rnacentral:rRNA from 1 species
CCCUUAGAUGUCCUGGGCCGCACGCGCGUUACACUGAUGCAUUCAACGAGCUUAUAACCUUGGCCGAGAGGCCUGGGCAAUCUUGUUAACGUGCAUCGUGAUAGGGAUAGAUUAUUGAAAUUAUUAAUCUUGAACGAGGAAUUCCUAGUAAACGCAGAUCAUCAAUCUGCAUUGAUUACGUCCCCGCCCUUUGUACACACCGCCCGUCGCACCUACCGAUUGGAUGGUCCGGUGAAGCCUCGGGAUUGUGGUUCUUGCCGCUUUAUUGUGGCGUGACCGCGAGAACUUGUCUAAACCUUAUCAUCUAGAGGAAGGUGAAGUCGUAACA